UUAAGUUCAGCGGGUAACCCUACCUGAUCCGAGGUCAAACUUAGAGAAUAUAGGUUUGACGGCUGGCCUCCACCGGGUCCCGAAGCGAGCUGUUAUACUACGCAGGGGGCGCCGCGGCAGGACCGCCACUUCAUUUCAGGGCCUACGGACAGCACAGGGCUCUACCGUAGUGCCCCAACGCCGGGCGAGCACCAGCACCU
rnacentral:misc_RNA from 1 species